CCCUUAGAUGUUCUGGGCCGCACGCGCGCUACACUGAUGCGUUCAACAAGCCUAGCCUUGACCGAGAGGUCCGGGUAAUCUUUGAAACUGCAUCGUGAUGGGGCUAGAUUAUUGCAAUUAUUAAUCUUCAACGAGGAAUACCUAGUAAGCGUGAUUCAUCAAAUCGCGUUGAUUACGUCCCUGCCCUUUGUACACACCGCCCGUCGCUCCUACCGAUUGAAUGUGUUGGUGAGGAGCUCGGAUUGGCAGCAGUUGGUGGUUCGCCACCGGCUAUUGCUGAGAAGUCCUCCAAACCGCCCCAUUUAGAGGAAGGAGAAGUCGUAACA
rnacentral:rRNA from 1 species